AUUGAACGCUGGCGGCAGGCCUAACACAUGCAAGUCGAGCGGCAGCGGAAAGUAGCUUGCUACUUUGCCGGCGAGCGGCGGACGGGUGAGUAAUGUCUGGGAAACUGCCUGAUGGAGGGGGAUAACUACUGGAAACGGUAGCUAAUACCGCAUAACGUCGCAAGACCAAAGAGGGGGACCUUCGGGCCUCUUGCCAUCAGAUGUGCCCAGAUGGGAUUAGCUAGUAGGUGGGGUAACGGCUCACCUAGGCGACGGUCCCUAGCUGGUCUGAGAGGAUGACCAGCCACACUGGAACUGACACACGGUCCAGACUCCUACGGGAGGCAGCAGUGGGGGAUAUUGCACAAUGGGCGCAAGCCUGAUGCAGCCAUGCCGCGUGUAUGAAGAAGGCCUUCGGGUUGUAAAGUACUUUCAGCGGGGAGGAGGGUGUUGAGGUUAAUAACCUCAGCAAUUGACGUUACCCGCAGAAGAAGCACCGGCUAACUCCGUGCCAGCCGCCGCGGUAAUAC
rnacentral:rRNA from 1 species